rnacentral:rRNA from 1 species
UACGUAGGGUGCGAGCGUUGUCCGGAAUUAUUGGGCGUAAAGAGCUCGUAGGCGGUUUGUUGCGUCGGCCGUGAAAAACCUGCAGCUUAACUGUGGGCCUGCGGCCGAUACGGGCAGACUUGAGUUCGGUAGGGGGAGACUGGAAUUCCUGGUGUAGCGGUGAAAUGCGCAGAUAUCAGGAAGAACACCUGCGGCGAAGGCGGGUUGCUGGGCCGACACUGACGCUGAGGCGCGAAAGCCAGGGGAGCGAACGGG